CAAUAGACUCUGCUUUCACUUGGUGGACUGAGUUGUCAAUCAAAUGGCUCUGGGCGGGGCUUUCUGUCCAGGUGGGUAGUCGUACCUGAUCACAGGAUUCCUGCCUGACAGCAGCUCCUAGCACGGCUGAAGUCAAGUGAUGUCACCGUGGCGCUUCAGCUGAUUCUACCAGCAGACACUGAAAGGGCUCUGAUAGUUCGGUGUCUCAUGUUCACUGUGAGGAUCUUCUGAGUGAAGCCAACAGAAGGAAAACCUCAUCUGGUUGUGAAGAAGGAGACUGAAUGGACGACAUCCUCAGUGAACCACUUCCUGUUUAGCUUUCAGUUACAGAAGGACAGACCAACUCUCAGCAGUUUAUUAUUCUCUGUUCUUAGUAUUCACAGGUUCCAUUUAUCACCUUUAACUUCAUCUCUGCUGUUGUAGCAGAACUACAAUAUAAAAAGUCCAUGUUAUUUAUAGCAGAUAUGCAGCAUUAAAACAUCAACACAUUCAGGGCAGGAGUUUCAUUAUUUCCUUUAUUGCACAUUUAAAAACUACAUUAUUUAACAAUUGUGAACUGUAAAGAUGUGUAAACACAUGAAAUAAAUAGAUAAAUAAAUAAUGUGUUGCUGACAGUGAAGUGUAAAUACUGAACAGUCACAAGACAAGUUGUAUUAUGAAGAGAGGAGCUGAAUCUGCAGCAUUAUUGUUCUUACUGGAAGGAUGAGGAGGACAUCAGUGCUGCUCUUCCUCACAGUGAUGAAGGAGAAAAGACUCUUCAGACAACCACAGCUGGAUGUUCAUGUUCUCUGUAGCUCUCAGUCCAUCAAACUAGAUGUUCCCAAUGAUCCAGACCAAGGCUGGAAGGAAAAGACACUAACAGUGAGAAAAAGAUCUACAAGGUUCUUUCAUUCCAACUGCAGGAACAUUAAAUCUAAUACCUGUAGUGUUCAUCAUUACUUUGAUCAUAUUCUGGGAGUUUAUUUUUCCAGUCUUCACUGCAGGAAUACGUAGCGAUCCUUCCCUCAGCGCCAUGUUUGAUUCUGUGCCUUUAGCUGGGGAGGGCUCUGCUCCAGUUUAUGUGCGUUCCAGGGGGAGGUGCUGAGGACAUCGUAUGGUGGGUGUGGACAUCUGGGGGUACAAAAGAUGUACUGGUACAUCAGGAAGCACUUCUUUUGGCCUCGCAUGAAAAGGGAUGUGUCUCUGUAUACUAGGGCGAGGAAGAGCCAGUGUUCCCCUCCUCUAACCUGCAGCAUCAGUUCUGUGAAGGGGUGCAGGAACUGGUAGCUGAAUAUUGGCCAUAGUUUUUUUUUUUUUUUUUACCGUCCCACUGUAAGGAUGCACGUCACAUUAGCUCUGAAGAUGUGAUGACUGGUUGUCCAGAGCCUUUGGUCUGUAAAACUGUGCUCAUUGGAUUCAUGCGUGGUCCUCCUGGUCCCUGUCUGUUCCUCCUUCUGCACUCUUAAAAUGCUUCUCCUGCCACCAGGGGUUGUUGGGUGCAGUGUGGAGAUGAGGGGUUGCCUGGAGUGGUUGGACGUAGGACUGUUUUCCCCCUCCCUGGAUUCUGCACUUGGACUCUGUUUGCUCCUGGAUUUCCCCAACC
ensembl:lncRNA